rnacentral:rRNA from 1 species
UACGGAGGGGGCUAGCGUUGUUCGGAAUUACUGGGCGUAAAGCGCACGUAGGCGGACCAGUCAGUUGGGGGUGAAAUCCCGGGGGCUCAACCCCGGAACUGCCUCCAAAACUGCUGGUCUGGAGGUCGAGAGAGGCGAGUGGAAUUCCGAGUGUAGAGGUGAAAUUCGUAGAUAUUCGGAGGAACACCAGUGGCGAAGGCGGCUCGCUGGCUCGAUACUGACGCUGAGGUGCGAAAGCGUGGGGAGCGAACGGG